GACGAACGCUGGCGGUGUGCUUAACACAUGCAAGUCGAACGGAAAGGCCCUGCUUUUGUGGGGUGCUCGAGUGGCGAACGGGUGAGUAACACGUGAGUAACCUGCCCUUGACUUUGGGAUAACUUCAGGAAACUGGGGCUAAUACCGGAUAGGAGCUCCUGCUGCAUGGUGGGGGUUGGAAAGUUUCGGCGGUUGGGGAUGGACUCGCGGCUUAUCAGCUUGUUGGUGGGGUAGUGGCUUACCAAGGCUUUGACGGGUAGCCGGCCUGAGAGGGUGACCGGCCACAUUGGGACUGAGAUACGGCCCAGACUCCUACGGGAGGCAGCAGUGGGGAAUAUUGCACAAUGGGCGGAAGCCUGAUGCAGCAACGCCGCGUGCGGGAUGACGGCCUUCGGGUUGUAAACCGCUUUCGCCUGUGACGAAGCGGGAGUGACGGUAAUGGGUAAAGAAGCACCGGCUAACUACGUG
rnacentral:rRNA from 1 species